rfam:Salmo salar isolate Sally breed double haploid chromosome ssa21, whole genome shotgun sequence.
UGCAUUCACUACUGUAAGUUGCUCUGGAUAAGAGUGUUUGCUAAAUGACUCAAA